AAAACCUAGAUGGCAAAAUGUACAAAUUUUGACAAUUUAUUCUUUUAGAUGAGUGAAAUAGAAAGAAAAUGGCACUGAGAUAGGUAAGCAAGUCUUGUUGUGUUAACCUUGAGGUUCGAUUUGCAUUUAUGCAGAGUUCGAAGGUGGCGGUGGAGGUCACUGCUUGUAGAUACUCUUGGCUAUUCUUUUCCUUUGGAAUGACUCCCAUUUUUAAAUUUCAUAGUGUUUGUUAUUGGUACAUCAACUCUGGUUACAUCGGACUUAGUGGGUAGCCCCAAACUAUGUAUUAAAUUCAAUAGGCUUUAUGAAUGAUUUGUUUGACAAUGUAUUUACUAUUUAGUGAUAGUCAUUCAGUGAAUGUUUUGUGAUUUUGAAUAGCAUCUUCAAAAUUCUUUGACUAAAUAUUUUGUGUUCAUUUAAAGUUUGUGUUUGCUUGAUUUCUUGAGUAAUGUCUUCAAUUGAGAGUACGGGAUUUUAGUGUUAGAUAGUGCAAAAAGGUUUUAUACUUUUAUCGUUGGUCAAUACUUUUGUACAAGUGCCUUUAGGCAUGGGCUCAUUUGCUAGUAUGUUUCUUAAAUUGGCUCCGUCGGACCAAAAUCUUGGCUCUGCUAGUGUACCUUCUGCCGAAGUAAUACAAGCUGUAUAUAACUCAAGUUUUGUUGCCAAUCAGUCAUUGCCAUGAGAGACGGGCACUAUUUGCAUACUCUGGUACUCAAGCACAUAGCAAGACGCGAAGUCAUUCAACAAAUCCACGCACAACUUGUUAUUGCUUCUGAAAAAAUUCCUCCUGUGACAACUGCAACAAUAUGGAACUCUCUAAUCAGACACUACUCCCUCGGUUCCUUCCCUGAAGAAGCUAUACAGCUCUUCAAACACCUCCAACUUCACCAUAACCUUCCCGUCUCCUUCGACAGCUACGCCUAUUCUUUUCUCAUCAAGGCCUGCGCCAUCUUGGAGCAACCCAACUUGGGUACUCAGCUUCACGGCCUCACCGUAAAAGCCAGGUUCCGACCCCACCUCUACGUGCAAACUGCUCUGGUCAACAUGUAUGCCGAUUGUGGGUUUUUGGUCGAAGCUCAGCAAGUGUUCAACGAAAUGCCUAAGCGGAACUCAGUCACCUGGAAUGCCUUGAUUACUGGCAUCAUCAAGUGGGGGGAGCUUGGCCUAGCCCAUUCUUUGUUUGAUCGGAUGCCAAAUCAGAAUGUUGUUUCGUGGACUGGUAUUAUUGAUGGGUACGCACGGAUGAACCAGCACGAGGUGGCUUUGUCCUUGUUUCAGACUAUGGUUGGAAAGGGUAUUAAACCAACUCAAAUUACAGUCUUGGCGAUUUUUCCCGCUAUAUGGAAUCUUGGGUGUCUUGAGUCUUGCCAAUCAAUUCAUGCUUAUGGGGAGAAAAGCGGGUUCAAUGACUCAGAUAUUCGAGUUGUGAAUUCACUAGUAGAUGCGUACUCUAAGUGCGGGUGCAUGGUGAGUGCGGUAAAAGUCUUUGGUUUCAUGGAUGCCAAGAAGAGGAAUUUAGUUUCAUGGACAUCCAUUAUCUCUGGGUUUGCAAUGCACGGAAUGGGAAAACAUGCAGUGGAUAGUUUUAAAAGUAUGGAAGACAAGUGUUUGAAGCCAAAUCGGGUAACAUUCUUGAGUAUUUUGAGUGCUUGCAGUCAUGGGGGGUUGGUCGAAGAGGGUCUUGAAUUUUUCAGAAAGAUGGUCAAUGAGUGUCUAGUUGAACCCGAUGUUAAGCACUACGGGUGCUUGAUUGAUAUGUUGGGCAGGGCAGGUAGGUUAGAGGAAGCAGAGAAGAUGGCUUUGCAGAUUUCUCCUGAGAUCACUAAUGUUGUGAUUUGGAGGACGUUGUUGGGAGCUUGUAGUUUCCAUGGCAAUGUAGAGAUGGGAGAGCGAGUUAUGAGGAAGAUACUAGAGAUGGAGAGGAGAUAUGGUGGCGAUUAUGUGCUAUUGUCCAACUUAUUUGCUGGCUUUGGUAGGUUUGCUGAUGCCGAGAAUGUGAGAUCUCAGAUGGAUGAAAGAAAUGCCACUAAAGUUCCUGGCCUUAGUUUGGUCUGAUAAUAAAGAAAAAUUCAUUCAAGUUUUCUUCUACAGCAGUUUCACAGCCAGAACACCCUGGCAAUCAACAAUUUUGUUUGACGACCAUGGUCUCUAGCAAACAUUGCCGAUUCGAGAUCCUUUGUUUGCUGAGCAUGGCCUGCAGACGACCAUAACCAGUUCCAGUAUUUUGUUGACUUUCCGUUGCGAUAUUUGACAUCCUGAAGCACUGUUUCAACCUGUUGCAGUACACACUGAUGCAAAUCAGAACGGUUAGUCCACACUGAUGCAAAUCAGCACAACCGUUCUGUCAUCUCUUGCACUCACUUGGUAAGUGAUGUUUUCGUUACAAUCACCAUCGUCUCUGAUGUCGCCGGACUCUAUUCCGUCAGCAAUGCCUCCUCCAUUGCCAAAGCGGACGACAAACUCAGAUGGCCAAAUUGAUUUUGGAAGAGAUGUAAAAGAAGAAAAAGAGGUAUGGAGUGGAGACAGUAAGAAGAACAAGAGGUAUUGAGUGGUUCUUCAAAAAAAGAGAGUGAUGAGAUAGAUACUAAUAAGGAACGAAAUGAGGCAACAUAAAAUUGUGAAGAUAAAGCUAAGGAACCGAAAGUGGGGAUGGAAUUCGACACACCAAAACGAAGCUUAUGUGUAUUACUCAAGAUAUGCUAAAGGAAAUGGGUAUGGUGUAGCUAAAAGAACGUCGAAGAAGGGAAGAGAUGGAAACUUGAGGCAUGUAACUAUUCAAUGUAGUUGUGGUGGAAAGACAAGGGUGAGAACGAGCAACCCGGUCAAACCACGGCCACAAACAAAGACCGAGUGUCCAGCUUGCCUUAAUGUUGCUUUAUAUCCAGAUGGAAAGUGGAGGAUAAACUAAAUUGCCUUGGAGCACAAUCAUGAACAGUGCACGGGAAACUUAAGGUUUUACAAGAGCAAUAGGGUACUUGAUUAACAUCUGAAAAGAAAGCUUGUAUUGAAUGAUGAAGUCCUGAUUAAAAAGGGAGUGAUUUACUGAUUUUUAUAAAAUAUAAAUAGAACAAUUAUUAAUAAAUUCAUUUUCCUUGAAAUAAGAGAUCCUAUUGGCAUGCUUGCUGUAGUAGUCAGAA